GGCUUAAUACUUUAAAUUAAAAGAUUUGAUUUGCAUUCAAAAAAUAGGUUUCUGUACCUUUAGGCCA
rnacentral:tRNA from 2 species